CCCUUAGACACUCUAGGCGGCACGCGCGCUACAAUGGGUGGAAGAACGUGUUACUGCCUCCGAAAGGAGGGGUGAAUCACGAAUUCUUGCCCGUGAAUGGGAUAGUUUGUUGCAAUUUUCGGACUCGAACUAGGAAUCCCUUGUAAACAUGCUCAAGAAUAGCGUGUUGAAUACGUCCCUGCCGUUUGUACACACCGCCCGUCGUUUCUUCCGACUGAUACUCAUUGUGAGUUGCAAGGACCCUUUAUUGGGAAAUUGCUGCAAAUGCUUUGUAUUGGAGGAAGAAAAAGUCGUAACA
rnacentral:rRNA from 1 species